rnacentral:rRNA from 1 species
AACGAACGCUGGCGGCAUGCCUAACACAUGCAAGUCGAACGAUCCCUUCGGGGCUAGUGGCGCACGGGUGCGUAACGCGUGGGAACCUGCCCUUAGGUUCGGAAUAACUCAGAGAAAUUUGAGCUAAUACCGGAUAAUGUCUUCGGACCAAAGAUUUAUCGCCUUUGGAUGGGCCCGCGUUGGAUUAGCUAGUUGGGGGGGUAAAGGCCUACCAAGGCGACGAUCCAUAGCUGGUCUGAGAGGAUGAUCAGCCACACUGGGACUGAGACACGGCCCAGACUCCUACGGGAGGCAGCAGUGGGGAAUAUUGGACAAUGGGCGAAAGCCUGAUCCAGCAAUGCCGCGUGAGUGAUGAAGGCCUUAGGGUUGUAAAGCUCUUAUACCCGGGAUGAUAAUGACAGUACCGGGAGAAUAAGCCCCGGCUAACUCCGUG